rnacentral:misc_RNA from 1 species
GAUGAAGAACGCAGCGAGAUGCGAUAAGUAGUGUGAAUUGCAGAAUUCAGUGAAUCAUCGAAUCUUUGAACGCACAUUGCGCCCCUUGGUAUCCCGAGGGGCAUGCCUGUUCGAGCGUCAUUUCACCACUCAAGCCUGGCUUGGUGUUGGGCGACGUCCUCUUUGGGGACGCGCCUCGAAACGCUCGGCGGCGUGGCACCGGCUUUAAGCGUAGCAGAAUCUUUCGCUUUGGAAGUCGGGGCCCCGUCUGCCGGAAGACCUGCUCGCAAGGUUGACCUCGGAUCAGGCAGGGAUACCCGCUGAACUUAAGCAUAUCAAUAAGCGGAGGA